rnacentral:rRNA from 1 species
UACGGGGGGGGCAAGCGGUUGUUCGGAAUUACUGGGCGUAAAGGGCUAGUAGGUGGCCAACUAAGUCAGACGUGAAAUCCCUCGGCUUAACCGAGGAAUGGCGUCUGAUACUGGAUGGCUUGAGUUUGGGAGAGGGAUGCGGAAUUCCAGGUGUAGCGGUGAAAUGCGUAGAUAUCUGGAGGAACACCGGUGGCGAAGGCGGCAUCCUGGACCAAUACUGACGCUGAGGAGCGAAAGCCAGGGGAGCAAACGGG